ensembl:lncRNA
AAUAAAUAAUGUGAAUAAAUAAAUAUACAUUCUAUAAAAAUAAAAACUUUAAAAAGAUCAUUAUUAAUUUAGAGUUUCUUUUUUUUCUGAAUUUUCUUUUUUUGUCUUGUUAUAUAGGACGCUGGUUGUUCCGUUGAUCUUUGCAUUAGUGGGUGUCUCUAUUUCUGCACCAAUAAAUGAUGGAACAGAUAAUGAUGAGGCGGCUGCAGCCCUAGGGAUACUCAAUGCUUCUCCAACUCCAGUCCCUGGAAAUGGAGACUCAGGUUGGUCUGGCUGAUAUAUGAUGAAUUCUAGCUGUAAAAUAUGUUAUAUAACCAGAAAGUCUAAUAACAUGGACAUGAACUUGAAUUUUAACAUCAAAGUUUAGACAGACAGCACUGUUGUUAUUGUUAACUAAAUAUAUAUA